GGGUGGGGGUGGGGGUGAGGGCGGUGUCUGAACUGAUUCUGGACGUCCCGGAAUCGUUUAAUCCCGGGAAUCGGGAGAUAACCGACACCCGGGAUGCCCGGUAGGACCUUAAGGAUAGGCCACCUUCAUCUUCCUGAUGGAUCCUAGUACAUACAAGCUGCUGCUUCGCUAUUGUGCAAGAUCUGCUGCUACCCAACCUCACCCACCACACCUCAGGCUAUGCUGGAGUGGAAACUAGAGCUCACAGAGGGUCCCUAACAAAGCAGUUUCCCUGGCCUCGGGUGUGUCGACAAUUAGAAAAGCUCAAGUCAGAAAAUCUGGUACUCACUGUACGUUGCUGCCACAGCACUGCUAUGAAGGCUUUGACCAUUAAGAUGUCCUGCAAGGAGAGAGACCUUCCCCUUGACCUCUGACCCUAAGAACGCCGAAGGCAUCCGGCGAGGCAGCGCAUGCGCCUGAGCGUACUGGCUUCCCGGCCCGCAGCUCGGGAAGGACGCACAAGCCGCGGGUCCCGAGCCGACCCACUAGAUCCCAGACUUCACGAGGCCAGCGGUGACACCCUGUUCAACCCUGUCGUCGCGUCACCCAGAUCCUGUCUUCAUUGCCUUGCCCUGGACACCCACCUUGAAGUGCGGCGGCUCCUUCCCUGGCCCAGGUGCGAGUCAACCGGAAGGCGGAGCCUAAGUUUAGGAUGCUGCCAUUGGGCGAGCUUCUCACGCCUUUUUCUUCAGUGCCCUUUCCUUCUUUGGUCUGAUUGGCCUGUGGUUCUGCAGGAGGCGGGCUCAGGACUAUAUUUUCCUCUAAUUGGCUGAUGGGAGCAGAUGCUUGAAGUUUUGUAGGGAGCUGCCAUAUUGUAUCGGAGGUUAAUAUGCCUGACUUCCGAGAUGCUGAAGGCGGGACUUCCUGAGCUCGGUUCUGGACGUUGGUAAAGUCCCGGGAGACGGGAGGGGUGGGGCUCAUUUGAAUACUGCCAAGAUGGCGGCAGCUCGUAAGCGCUUUAA